UGGGGAAUUUUGGACAAUGGGCGAAAGCCUGAUCCAGCAAUGCCGCGUGUGUGAAGAAGGCCUUCGGGUUGUAAAGCACUUUUGUCCGGAAAGAAAUCCUUGGCUCUAAUACAGUCGGGGGAUGACGGUACCGGAAGAAUAAGCACCGGCUAACUACGUGCCAGCAGCCGCGGUAAUACGUAGGGUGCAAGCGUUAAUCGGAAUUACUGGGCGUAAAGCGUGCGCAGGCGGUUUGCUAAGACCGAUGUGAAAUCCCCGGGCUCAACCUGGGAACUGCAUUGGUGACUGGCAGGCUAGAGUAUGGCAGAGGGGGGUAGAAUUCCACGUGUAGCAGUGAAAUGCGUAGAGAUGUGGAGGAAUACCGAUGGCGAAGGCAGCCCCCUGGGCCAAUACUGACGCUCAUGCACGAAAGCAUGGGGAGCAAACAGGAUUAGAUACCCUGGUAGUCCACGCCCUAAACGAUGUCAACUAGUUGUUGGGGAUUCAUUUCCUUAGUAACGUAGCUAACGCGUGAAGUUGACCGCCUGGGGAGUACGGUCGCAAGAUUAAAACUCAAAUGAAUUGACGGGGUCAUAGCUGUUUCCU
rnacentral:rRNA from 1 species